GUCAGCAGUGCCUUAGCAGCACGUAAAUAUUGGCGUUAAGAUUUUUAAUUAUCUCCAGUAUUAACUGUGCUGCUGAAGUAAGGUUGAC
rnacentral:pre_miRNA from 1 species